UACGUAGGUGGCAAGCGUUGUCCGGAUUUACUGGGCGUAAAGAGCGCGCAGGCGGUCGUUCAAGUCGCGUGUGAAAGCCCCCGGCUCAACUGGGGAGGGUCACGCGAUACUGAUCGACUCGAAGGCAGGAGAGGGAAGUGGGAUUCCCGGUGUAGUGGUGAAAUGCGUAGAUAUCGGGAGGAACACCAGUGGCGAAGGCGACUUCCUGGCCUGUUCUUGACGCUGAGGCGCGAAAGCUAGGGGAGCAAACGGG
rnacentral:rRNA from 1 species